rnacentral:lncRNA from 1 species
CCCAUACCAAUGUUGCAUGAUGGCAGUUUAGGUCAUUUGAAGCAAUUUCUUUCCCAGAUCUGCAAGAAGAAAUGUCCUGAUGCGCAUUGAUCUUGCUUACUAAUACUUAAAAUCAUAGGAUUAUAGAAUAAUUCAAGUAGAAAAGAGUAUCAAGUUUCACUAUCCAGCUCAAGUAGGGUCUGCUGCAAGAUGAUAACACAUUGCUCAGGGAUCACAUAAGUUCUGAAACCCUCCUUAUUGUGACAAAACUUUCCUUAUGUUCAGCCAAAACCAUUUCUGUUUCAGCCUCUGCCUGUUGCCUCUCAUCCCAGAGAAGAGCCUGGAUUCAUAUUCCUGACAAGAUCCUCAGACUCUAAUGCAUCAUUUAUCAGGCUAUGAGGGAGCUGUUUCUCCAGUCCUAUUUGCAUGGAGGAAAGCAGAGCAAGAAAUUUCCCUCUCCAGAUUGACUCAGGCAACGAAGCUGAUCCAAAGUGAGUGCAAAACAAGAAAUACUUGGAUGGCUUCAGUCUCUUUUAGGACCCACGAAACAAGAGGAUCUUUGAGCUCUACCUGGGAUCUGGAUACAUUGAACACCUGCUUGAGAUCAGACAGUGUCCCACAUGUACUGUUUUGGAUGAAACAAGCGUUCACAAAGGAACAAUACACUUCUGCCAGAAAAUAUGUUUCCAAAGCUCUGACAAACUUUCUGAAGUUAAUGCAACCACUUCCAAGAAAAGCUCAGGACUGCUGCCUCUGCAGCACAGCUUUGGUUGUGCAGAGCAGCAAAACCCAUGUUCUGAGCUCUGAGCAUCAAUUGGCUCAUCCUCCCGCACCUCCGUGCUGCACUUUUCCAUUUGGCAGACUAUGAAUCCCAUUGGUCACAAUGCAGAAUCUCCCUGCCUUGCAACAUGUGUGCAAGCCAGGGUUGUGAACCU